CGGUAAAAGCUCAAAUUUGAAAUCUGGCUCUUUUAGAGUCCGAAUUGUAAUUUGUAGAAGAUGCUUCGGGUGUGGUUCCGGUCUAAGUUCCUUGGAACAGGACGUCAUAGAGGGUGAGAGCCCCGUACGGUUGGACGCCUAGCCUCUGUAAAGCUCCUUCGAC
rnacentral:rRNA from 1 species